AUGAGUUGUUUCCACCUCACAAAGAAAACGUGCCGGAAUCUGAAUACUAUCUCGUCAAAAUUUUGGUGGGGGGCAAAGGAUGGUGAGAAAAAAGUACAUUGGAUAUCGUGGCAAAAGAUGUGCACCUCGAAAAGGGACGGAGGGAUGGGUUUUCGCGACUUAACGGCGUUUAACCAGGCUCUUCACGCAAAGCAAGCCCGGCGCGUCUUACAAAACCCAGAGGCCUUAGUGUCAAGAGUGCUCAAGGCAAGAUACUUCAAAGAUGAAUCCAUUUUGAGUGCAACGUGCCCGGCUACAGCCUCAUACACUUACAGAAGUAUUUUGCAUGGCCGAGAUCUACUUCGUGAAGGCUUCGUGUGGCGAAUUGGAGACGGCUCCAAGGUGAGUAUACACCACAGCAACUGGAUCCCGAGAGGCGGAUCCAUGAAGCCAUUGGGACAGACCUAUAUACCUGGCGUGACGAAGGUGGCCGAUCUAAUGCUUCCGGAUGGAAGGAGCUGGGAUCGGGACCGAGUCAGGGAGAUGUUCACCCCGGACGAUGCUAGCGACAUAUUACAGAUUGUGGUGGGGGGUUUGGGUGCAGAUGACUACCAAGCUUGGAACUUUACUAAGAAUGGAUGCUUCUCCGUUCGGUCUGCUUAUCAUUUGAAGAUGGCCAUGCUGAGAUCGCACUCUGGACAGCCAGAGGCUUCGAGCUCGGUGAAUAAACACAAGGCGUAUAUGGCCCUUUGGGGCACGGACGCACCGGGGAAGGCCAAGAUUCAUCUCUGGAGACUAAUUUCAAAUGGACUGACGGUUGGAUCAGAGCUCUUUCGAAGGAAGAUAAAACCUGGGGUUUUUUGUGUUGCUUGCGGGCGUGAAGAAACUAUUGUUCAUCGGUUUUGGGCAUGUCCACACUCUGAAUUAUUUUGGCGGCUAUUUUGA
rnacentral:rRNA from 1 species